rnacentral:rRNA from 1 species
GAUGAACGCUGGCGGCGUGCUUAACACAUGCAAGUCGAACGGAAAGGCUCCUGCUUGCAGGGGUACUCGAGUGGCGAACGGGUGAGUAACACGUGGGUGAUCUGCCCUGCACUUCGGGAUAAGCCUGGGAAACUGGGUCUAAUACCGGAUAGGACGAUGGUUUGGAUGCCAUUGUGGAAAGUUUUUCGGUGUGGGAUGAGCUCGCGGCCUAUCAGCUUGUUGGUGGGGUAAUGGCCUACCAAGGCGUCGACGGGUAGCCGGCCUGAGAGGGUGUACGGCCACAUUGGGACUGAGAUACGGCCCAGAAUCCUACGGGAGGCAGCAGUGGGGAAUAUUGCACAAUGGGCGGAAGCCUGAUGCAGCGACGCCGCGUGGGGGAUGACGGCCUUCGGGUUGUAAACUCCUUUCGCUAGGGACGAAGCGCAAGUGACGGUACCUGGAGAAGAAGCACCGGCUAACUACGUG